AUUACCAACGUAUUUACUGCAGGUAAACUGAUUAACUGUGUACCUGUUGUUGUUGAAAACAUUAAAAAUACUCUUAUUCCAUGCUAAGCGCUUGCGGUAUAUGUCUCUUUUUGCUCCUCUCCACCAUAUAUUGACCAUUAUCGAGAAGCUUAAAAGGACCGUCAUCUUUUUUUUCCUCUCUCAUAGAACAGAGGACGAUUUUAAUCGCGAAAACGAGUUUGAAAUGAAGAAAAUAUUCAGCGAAUAAAUAUAUCUAUUGUAGUUAUCGAAUCUGCGAAGCGAUAAUAUUCAUUUGUUGGCGAAUAAGUUUGGACCAAUUUUCUUUUUGUUUUUGCUUGUUUCCCCUCCCCCCUCCUUUUUUUCUUUCCUUCCUUUUAUCAACGUAAACGCGCGAGUGUCAAUAUUUGUAAAUAUCGUAAGAACGUCAGUAUUUGAAGGAGUAACUGAUAAUUACCCAAUAUUUGUGUCCUUUGACUUACACAAAGAGAGAGUAAACAAACAUAUACAUAUCCCCUUAUAUACAUAUGUACACAUACAUUCCUGCUAAGCUACGACAUUGAAACCAGUAAUUAUUAACCGAGCAUGAAGACACGUAAUAAUGAAGUGCGUUUUAACGAGGAAAUCACAAUCAGUUGAAAGUGUAUCGAAUCGAAAUAAUUAUUUUCCUCUUUGGCCGAAAAAAACGCAAACAAAAAUUCCCUUAUCGUUUAUUCAUUACACAAAAUUCUCGAGAUAUAUGAAUAUUUGAGAGAUUUAGAUUCGAUGUACUUUCGAGUAAUAUGUAGAACGAUGAAUAGAUGAGACGAUCGAAAAGUAGAUUAUUCGCUUAUUCGUACCAAGUCGGAAAGUAAUUAGGAAAAUUGAGAGUCGUUCCAGUGCGAUCGGACGAGGAAUACAUUUUCGACGUUUCUUACCAGAGGGAAGUCAUCUUGAAAAUGAGAAGAAGAGGGAGGACCAAAAAAGAGAUCGAAAGCAUGCUUUGAUUACUUACGAAUCGAAAUAUUGAUUAAUUCAUUAUUAUACCAAUGACAUCGCUAUACUUUUUCUUCUACUGUGAUUAUCAUUUACUAUUAUCUUUAUUAUCAUUAUUACUAUUAUUACUAUUAUUAUUACUAUUAUUAUUACUA